UACGUAGGGUGCGAGCGUUGUCCGGAAUUAUUGGGCGUAAAGAGCUCGUAGGCGGUGUGUCGCGUCGGCCGUGAAAACCCGGGGCUCAACUCCGGGCCUGCAGUCGAUACGGGCUGGCUUGAGUGCGGUAGGGGAGACUGGAAUUCCUGGUGUAGCGGUGAAAUGCGCAGAUAUCAGGAGGAACACCGGUGGCGAAGGCGGGUCUCUGGGCCGUAACUGACGCUGAGGAGCGAAAGCGUGGGGAGCGAACAGG
rnacentral:rRNA from 1 species